rnacentral:rRNA from 1 species
AGUGAACGCUGGCGGUAGGCCUAACACAUGCAAGUCGAACGGCAGCACAGUAAGAUCUUGCUCUUACGGGUGGCGAGUGGCGGACGGGUGAGGAAUACAUCGGAAUCUACUUUUUCGUGGGUGAUAACGUAGGGAAACUUACGCUAAUACCGCAUACGACCUACGGGUGAAAGCAGGGGAUCUUCGGACCUUUCGCGAUUGAAUGAGCCGAUGUCGGAUUAGCUAGUUGGCGGGGUAAAGGCCCACCAAGGCGACGAUCCGUAGCUGGUCUGAGAGGAUGAUCAGCCACACUGGAACUGAGACACGGUCCAGACUCCUACGGGAGGCAGCAGUGGGGAAUAUUGGCCAAUGGGCGCAAGCCUGAUCCAGCCAUACCGCGUGGGUGAAGAAGGCCUUCGGGUUGUAAAGCCCUUUUGUUGGGAAAGAAAAGCAGCAGGUUAAUACCCCGCUGUUCUGACGGUACCCAAAGAAUAAGCACCGGCUAACUUCGUG